ACUAUGCUUGGUAAAAACAAGGCCAAGAUGAACGCUUUUGGCUCGCCAGAUUAUUACAAGUAAAGACUUAAAACUCAAAGGACUUGACGGUGCCCCACAUACAACCUAGAGGAGCCUGUCCCAUAAUCGAUGAUCCACGAAGGACCUAACCACUUUUUGCCCAACAGCCUAUAUACCGCCGUCGAAAGCCCACCCUGUGAGGGGAAAAAAGUGAGCAAAAUAGCUCAACACUAAUACGUCAGGUCAAGGUGUAGUUAAUAAAGUGGCCGGAGAUGGGCUACAUUUCUUUUCCAAAAGAAAAACGAAUGGUUAAAUGAAACUUUUAGCCGGAAGGAGGAUUUAGCAGUAAAGCAGGAUCAGCACGUCUGCUUGAACACACUGCCCUGGGACGCGUACACACCGCCCGUCACCCCCAUCAACACACCCAAAAACAUAAAUAAAACCACAGGGUAAGAAAGAUUGGG
rnacentral:rRNA from 1 species